AUUAGAUUGCAUUUGGCUGAUGGCUGCUGUGAUCCUCCAGAGCACGAGCUCAGAGAUCUUCCCUGGAGACCCACCAGCGUCUGGCUUGGUGGCCAGCUCUGAGGCACCCCUAAUUAACCAGUUUUGCAUUUCUAAUUGAGCCCUGGAAGCCAGCCAGCAAGAGCAAGAGGCGUUCACCUGGCUGCCACCCUUUGAUGACAGCAGUGGAGGAUUCUGUGCUGUGCCGAUGCCAGGGAUUAACUAAGAGCAUGACUCAACGAACCAGUUCAGACCAAGCAAGAACAACCCUUCAUUUUUCUUCCAAGAUUCUGGCUCAGCCCAGCACAGGCUGUUCUGGAGCAUCAGAAAAGGGUAGUUAGCUUGAAAUAUGACUUUUUAAACAGUUUAUUACUUUUCCUGUCCUUUGUGUUGCAGCUGGUAUGGGAGGCUGAAGGAAAUGCAAUCAAGGAGAUCAUUCCAAGGCAGUUUUCCCCUACAUUUUCUGUCUGAUUUCAAGGUUUCCCUGUGAGAUCCUGGCGUGUAUUUCACAGAAGUGACACAUGCCAGGGGAUGGAGAUUAACAUUUUCAGGAGGGAUGAGAUGCCCAGUUUUGUUUCAUAGAAUCAUGGAAUCAUUAAGACAAGACCUGUAAGAUCAUUGAAUCCAAUGUUAACCUCGAACUAAAUCCACCACUAAACCUUUGGGAUUGAAGCUGCCAUUUUCAUGGAAAUCAUCAUCACUGCAGUGUUUUUCCUUGCUGUCCUAGAGCUGCUUCCAAGCCUGAGAGCCCCGAUGCUGCCAGGAGCUCACCAGGAACAACCUGCACUGUUUGGGAUUGCCCAGGUGGGAUCCCACAUGUGCACUGCUCAUCCUGGAUGAGAAACAUCAAGGAGACAUUGGUGAGGCCCUGGCACAGGGUGCCCAGAGAAGCUGUGGAUCCCUGGAAGCGUCCAAGGCCAGGUUGGAUGGGGUUUGGAGCAACCUGGGAUGGUGGAAAGUGUCCACUGGUUAAAGAUGAGCUUUAAGGUCCCUUCCAACCCAAACCAUUCCAUGAUUCUGUGAUUGUGUCUCUCCCUUCGCUUUCUUGUGGAUGAUGAGAAAAAAGAGAAGGAGGCAAGGCAGGAGAGUGGGGUGUGGAGCAGCAGCAGUGCCCAAGUGUGGGGCAGGAAAGCCUCCUGAGGU
rnacentral:lncRNA from 1 species